AUUGAACGCUGGCGGCAGGCUUAACACAUGCAAGUCGAGCGGAGCGAGGGUGCUUGCACCUUAGCUUAGCGGCGGACGGGUGAGUAAUGCUUAGGAAUCUGCCUAUUAGUGGGGGACAACAUUCCGAAAGGAAUGCUAAUACCGCAUACGACCUACGAGGGAAAGCAGGGGAUCUUCGGACGUUGCGCUAAUAGAUGAGCCUAAGUCGGAUUAGCUAGUUGGUGGGGUAAAGGCCUAGCAAGGCGACGAUCUGUAGCGGGACUGAGAGGAUGAUCCGCCACACUGGGACUGAGACACGGCCCAGACUCCUACGGGAGGCAGCAGUGGGGAAUAUUGGACAAUGGGCGGAAGCCUGAUCCAGCCAUGCCGCGUGUGUGAAGAAGGCCUUUUGGUUGUAAAGCACUUUAAGCGAGGAGGAGGCUACUUAGAUUAAUACUCUGGGAUAGUGGACGUUACUCGCAGAAUAAGCACCGGCUAACUCUGUGCCAGCAGCCGCCGUAA
rnacentral:rRNA from 1 species